GAUGAACGCUGGCGGCGUGCCUAAUACAUGCAAGUAGAACGCUGAAGGAAGGAGCUUGCUCUUUCCGGAUGAGUUGCGAACGGGUGAGUAACGCGUAGGUAACCUGCCUGGUAGCGGGGGAUAACUAUUGGAAACGAUAGCUAGUACCGCAUAACAGUAGAUGUUGCAUGAUAUCUACUUAAAAGGUGCAAUUGCACCACUACCAGAUGGACCUGCGUUGUAUUAGCUAGUUGGUGAGGUAACGGCUCACCAAGGCGACGAUACAUAGCCGACCUGAGAGGGUGAUCGGCCACACUGGGACUGAGACACGGCCCAGACUCCUACGGGAGGCAGCAGUAGGGAAUCUUCGGCAAUGGACGGAAGUCUGACCGAGCAACGCCGCGUGAGUGAAGAAGGUUUUCGGAUCGUAAAGCUCUGUUGUAAGAGAAGAACGAGUGUGAGAGUGGAAAGUUCACACUGUGACGGUAUCUUACCAGAAAGGGACGGCUAACUACGUG
rnacentral:rRNA from 1 species